rnacentral:tRNA from 1 species
GGCCUGAUGGUCUAGUAGUAUGAUUCCUUCUUAGGGCUAGAGAGCAAUUUGGAGGAGGUCCCGGGUUCAAUUCCCGGUCAGGCCC